rnacentral:tRNA from 1 species
CGGGAAGUAGCUCAGCUUGGUAGAGCACAUGGUUUGGGACCAUGGGGUCGAACCGCUGACCUCCUGCGUGCAAAGCAGGCGCUCUCCCAG